rnacentral:rRNA from 1 species
AAGGUUUCCAGGAAACUGCUCAGGAUGAACGCUGGCGGCGUGCUUAACACAUGCAAGUCGAACGAUGAAGACCGUGCUUGCACGGUUGGAUUAGUGGCGAACGGGUGAGUAUCACGUGAGUAACCUUCCCUUGACUCUGGGAUAAGCCCGGGAAACUGGGUCUAAUACCGGAUACGACCAGUCCUCGCAUGGGGUGCUGGUGGAAAGAUUUAUCGGUCUUGGAUGGACUCGCGGCCUAUCAGCUUGUUGGUGAGGUAAUGGCUCACCAAGGCGAUGACGGGUAGCCGGCCUGAGAGGGUGACCGGCCACACUGGGACUGAGACACGGCCCAGACUCCUACGGGAGGCAGCAGUGGGGAAUAUUGCACAAUGGGCGAAAGCCUGAUGCAGCGACGCCGCGUGCGGGAUGACGGCCUUCGGGUUGUAAACCGCUUUCAGCAGGGAAGAAGCGAAAGUGACGGUACCUGCAGAAGAAGCGCCGGCUAACUACGUGCCAGCAGCCGCGGUAAUACGUAGGGCGCGAGCGUUAUCCGGAAUUAUUGGGCGUAAAGAGCUCGUAGGCGGUUUGUCACGUCUGCUGUGAAAGCCCGAGGCUCAACCUCGGGUGUGCAGUGGGUACGGGCAGACUAGAGUGCAGUAGGGGAGACUGGAAUUCCUGGUGUAGCGGUGAAAUGCGCAGAUAUCAGGAGGAACACCGAUGGCGAAGGCAGGUCUCUGGGCUGUUACUGACGCUGAGGAGCGAAAGCAUGGGGAGCGAACAGGAUUAGAUACCCUGGUAGUCCAUGCCGUAAACGUUGGGCACUAGGUGUGGGGGACAUUCCACGUUUUCCGCGCCGUAGCUAACGCAUUAAGUGCCCCGCCUGGGGAGUACGGCCGCAAGGCUAAAACUCAAAGGAAUUGACGGGGGCCCGCACAAGCGGCGGAGCAUGCGGAUUAAUUCGAUGCAACGCGAAGAACCUUACCAAGGCUUGACAUGGACCGGAUCGCUGCAGAGAUGCAGUUUCCCUUCGGGGUCGGUUCACAGGUGGUGCAUGGUUGUCGUCAGCUCGUGUCGUGAGAUGUUGGGUUAAGUCCCGCAACGAGCGCAACCCCUAUCCUAUGUUGCCAGCACGUAAUGGUGGGGACUCAUGGGAGACUGCCGGGGUCAACUCGGAGGAAGGUGGGGACGACGUCAAAUCAUCAUGCCCCUUAUGUCUUGGGCUUCACGCAUGCUACAAUGGCCGGUACAAUGGGUUGCGAUACUGUGAGGUGGAGCUAAUCCCUAAAAGCCGGUCUCAGUUCGGAUCGAAGUCUGCAACUCGACUUCGUGAAGUUGGAGUCGCUAGUAAUCGCAGAUCAGCAACGCUGCGGUGAAUACGUUCCCGGGCCUUGUACACACCGCCCGUCAAGUCACGAAAGUGGGUAACACCCGAAGCCGGUGGCCUAACCCUUGUGGGGGGAGCCGUCGAAAGUGGGACUCGCGAUUGGAUAUACAAGGGGGGGGGCGCAUAUAUAUAUAUAAAAGGGGGGGGCGGCUCUCUUCUUGUGGAGG